rnacentral:lncRNA from 1 species
CGGUCGUUUCUUGGACGCUGAGUUUCCGACGCUGAGCUCGAUUCCCAGGGGUGGCCGGUGGCCGUCGCGCUCGGACGAUGGGUUCGGCCGCCCCAAAUCCCUGGGGCUGGUGUCGGAUGUUGAGUUUGGCCACCCCAAAAUGCCAAGGUUCGGCGUUGGGCGUUGGGUUUGGCCACCCAGAAUGGCGAGGUUCUACUUUGGACAUUGGUUUGGGUCAUGAGGACGUCGGCGUUGUCUUCGUAUGUUGAGUUUGGCCACCCCAAAAUGCCAAGGUUUGGUGUCGGGCGUUGGGUUUGGCCACCCUGAAUGGAGUGGUUCAACUUGGGACAAUGGCUUCAGUCAUCAGAACGUCGGCGUUGUCUUCGGACGUUGGGUUCGGCCGCCCCAAAUCCCUGGGGCUGUCGUCGGAUGUUGAGUUUGGCCACCCCAAAAUGCCAAGGUUCGGCGUUGGGCGUUGGGUUUGGCCACCCUUGAUGGUGAGAUUCGAUUUUGGAUGAUGGGUUUGGCCACCCAGAACGGCGAGGUUCAACAUGGGACGAUGGCUUCGGUCGUCAGAAUGUCGGCGAUGUCUUUGGAUGUUGGGUUUGGCCACCUCAAAUCCAUUGGACAUUGAGUUUCGCCGCCCAGAAUGCUGAGGUUGGGCGUUGGACGUUGGGUUUGGCCACCCCAAAUCCAUUGGAUGUUGAGUUUCGCCACCCAGAAUGCCGAGGUUGGGCGUUGGGCGUUGGGUUUGGCCACCCUUUAUGGAGAAGUUCGACUUUGAAUGAUGGGUCUGGCCACCCAGAAUGGCGAAAUUCAACUUGGGACAUUGGUUUGGUCAUGAGGACGUCGGCGUUGUCUUCGGACGUUGGGUUUGGCCACCCCAAAUCUCUUGGAUGUUGCGUUUGGCCACCCCAAAAUGCCAACGUUGGGCGUUGGGCGUUGGGUUUGGGCACCCAGAACGGCGACGUUCAACUUG